rnacentral:rRNA from 1 species
CUUGGUCAUUUAGAGGAAGUAAAAGUCGUAACAAGGUUUCCGUAGGUGAACCUGCGGAAGGAUCAUUAAAGAGUAAGGGUGCUCAGCGCCCGACCUCCAACCCUUUGUUGUUAAAACUACCUUGUUGCUUUGGCGGGACCGCUCGGUCUCGAGCCGCUGGGGAUUCGUCCCAGGCGAGCGCCCGCCAGAGUUAAACCAAACUCUUGUUAUUUAACCGGUCGUCUGAGUUAAAAUUUUGAAUAAAUCAAAACUUUCAACAACGGAUCUCUUGGUUCUCGCAUCGAUGAAGAACGCAGCGAAAUGCGAUAAGUAAUGUGAAUUGCAGAAUUCAGUGAAUCAUCGAAUCUUUGAACGCACAUUGCGCCCCUUGGUAUUCCGAGGGGCAUGCCUGUUCGAGCGUCAUUACACUACUCAAGCUAUGCUUGGUAUUGGGCGUCGUCCUUAGUUGGGCGCGCCUUAAAGACCUCGGCGAGGCCACUCCGGCUUUAGGCGUAGUAGAAUUUAUUCGAACGUCUGUCAAAGGAGAGGAACUCUGCCGACUGAAACCUUUAUUUUUCUAGGUUGACCUCGGAUCAGGUAGGGAUACCCGCUGAACUUAAGCAUAUCAAUAAGCGGAGGA